rnacentral:rRNA from 1 species
AACGAACGCUGGCGGCAUGCCUAACACAUGCAAGUCGAACGAGACCUUCGGGUCUAGUGGCGCACGGGUGCGUAACGCGUGGGAACCUGCCCUUAUGUUCUGAAUAACUCCCCGAAAGGGGUGCUAAUACCGGAUAAUGUCUUCGGACCAAAGAUUUAUCGCCUUUGGAUGGGCCCGCGUUGGAUUAGCUAGUUGGUAGGGUAAAAGCCUACCAAGGCGACGAUCCAUAGCUGGUCUGAGAGGAUGAUCAGCCACACUGGGACUGAGACACGGCCCAGACUGCUACGGGAGGCAGCAGUGGGGAAUAUUGGACAAUGGGCGAAAGCCUGAUCCAGCAAUGCCGCGUGAGUGAUGAAGGCCUUAGGGUUGUAAAGCUCUUUUACCCGGGAUGAUAAUGACAGUACCGGGAGAAUAAGCUCCGGCUAACUCCGUG